AUGUGUUUAUGUCUUUCCAGCAUGGAGUCAGAUUCCAGUUAAGUUGAUCUGCACUGACAUUAUGCCUCAUAAUCAAGGAGAAACAAACCCCAGGACUGCCUGCAGCCUCUAGCUUUAUAUGGAUAUGGAAGAAACAGAGCUCCUGAAGCUGGAGGAAACCCAUAAAAGCAGGGAGAAUAUUUUCAAAUUCCACAGACACGGGAACAAAGGACUCCUGCUGUGAGGGAUCAAUGCUAACCACUGAGCUGAGAAGCCACAAGUUGAAGAUUUCAUGUUCCCCACUUCAAAGUGUUGCUCAUCAUUUUAAGAAGACAGUAAAUAUUGGAGCAACCGACACACACCAUGUGGUUUAAUCUGUACACUCAAAUCUAUAUUUUCAUGUAAAUGUUUAACCUUUACAUCUUAUUUCCCCCUAUUAGACAGAAAUGAGUUAAACAGCUAACUGAAAAUGAGCCACAGCAUAACCAAAAUGCCAGUGGCAGGGCACCCCGCCAGCUCAUGAACCAUCACAACUUUGGUGAAGAGCCAUUAAGUGUUUGCAAGUUUCACUAACAUUUGACCAAUACAAACCCUUAUAAACUGUGAUGAGCACAAAAAAUAGACAAAAACACCACUUUAAGAACAUGAUAUAUUUGCUAACAUAAUUGGAAAAACACACAAAACCCCAAAAAGAUAACAGAAGAUUCUGAGAUAAAACUCAAAGAUGGAGCAUUUCAGAAUUCUAGAAUCUUCUUCACAUUACAACACUAUUAAAUUUCAGUCCCUCGGGUGUGUCACACCCUCUGUGGAAAGUGAAAUUUGCCCGUGAA